rnacentral:rRNA from 1 species
GUGGGGUAAUGGCUCACCAAGGCCACGAUCCCUAGCUGGUCUGAGAGGAUGAUCAGCCACACUGGAACUGAGACACGGUCCAGACUCCUACGGGAGGCAGCAUUGGGGAAUAUUGCACAAUGGGGGAAACCCUGAUGCAGCCAUGCCGCGUGUAUGAAUAAGGCCUUCAGGUUGUAAAGUACUUUCAGUAGGGAGGAAGGCAGUGUCGUUAAUAGCGGCAUUGUUUGACGUUACCUACAGAAGAAGCACCGGCUAACUCCGUGCCAGCAGCCGCGGUAAUACGGAGGGUGCGAGCGUUAAUCGGAAUUACUGGGCGUAAAGCGCAUGCAGGCGGUCUGUUAAGCAAUAUGUGAAAGCCCGGGGCUCAACCUCGGAACAACAUUUUGAACUGGCAUACUAGAGUCUUGUAUAGGGGGGUAGAAUUUCAGGUGUAUGGUGAAAUGCGUAGAGAUCUGAAGGAAUACCAGUGGCGACGCUGCCCCCUGUACAAAUACUGACGCUCAUAUGUGAAAGCGUGAGGAGCUAACACGAUUAGAUACCCCUGCUAUCCACGCCGUUCACGAUGUCUACUUUGGAUGUUGUGCCCCUUGAUUCGAGGCUUUCCGUAGCUACUAAAAAGUAGACCGCCUGGGUAGCACCGUCGUACUAUUAAUACUCUAAUGAAUUGACGGCAGCGCGCUCAGCGGUGGAGUAUGUCUUAAUCGAUGCAACGCGAACAAC